rnacentral:rRNA from 1 species
CAAGGGACUAGUAGAGUGGCAAACGGGUGAGUAACACGUGGGUGACCUGCCUUCGAGUGGGGGAUAACGUCCCGAAAGGGACGCUAAUACCGCAUGACAUCCUGCCCUUGAACGGGUGGAGAUCAAAGCUGGGGAUCGCAAGACCUAGCGCUUGAAGAGGGGCCCGCGUCUGAUUAGCUAGUUGGUGAGGUAACGGCUCACCAAGGCGACGAUCAGUAUCCGGCCUGAGAGGGCGGACGGACACACUGGGACUGAGACACGGCCCAGACUCCUACGGGAGGCAGCAGUGGGGAAUUGUUCGCAAUGGGCGCAAGCCUGACGACGCAACGCCGCGUGGAGGAUGAAGAUCUUCGGGUCGUAAACUCCUUUCGAUCGAGACGAACGGCUUCCGGGUGAACAAUCCGGGAGAUUGACGGUACCGAGAGAAGAAGCCCCGGCUAACUCCGUGCCAGCAGCCGCGGUAAUACGGGGGGGGCAAGCGUUGUUCGGAAUUACUGGGCGUAAAGGGCUCGUAGGCGGCCAACUAAGUCAGACGUGAAAUCCCUCGGCUUAACCGGGGAACUGCGUCUGAUACUGGAUGGCUUGAGGUUGGGAGAGGGAUGCGGAAUUCCAGGUGUAGCGGUGAAAUGCGUAGAUAUCUGGAGGAACACCGGUGGCGAAGGCGGCAUCCUGGACCAAUUCUGACGCUGAGGAGCGAAAGCCAGGGGAGCAAACGGGAUUAGAUACCCCGGUAGUCCUGGCCCUAAACGAUGAAUGCUUGGUGUGGCGGGUAUCGAUCCCUGCCGUGCCGAAGCUAACGCAUUAAGCA